UACCUAAAUGCUCACUAUUAAGAGAAGAGCUAAGUGAACCUUAAUCCUGCUAGCCCUUGACAGCAGUGACAGACAGAGACAGCUCUCUCUGUGCUAACGUGAAAAAAUUUCCAAGACACUGUAAAUUCAAAAGCUGGCAGCACUGUAUAGUUUAUAUUCAGUUUAUGCUAAAGUACGUUACAAUGUUCAUUUAUUUUGAAGGUUUAUUUAUAUAUUUGAGAAAGAUAGGAGGGGCAGAGGGAGAGAAAAUCUCAAGCAGACUCUGUGCUGAGUGCAGAGCCUGAUAGGAGUCUCCAUCCCAGGAUCCCGAGAUCAUGACCUGAGCCGAAGGUGGAUGCUUAGCCAACAGAGCCACCCAGGUGCCUGUUUAUAUUUAAAUAUACCUGUGAGGUGAACUGGGAAGCCAGGUUUCAAGCAGUGGAAAAGACAGCUUGAUUCUUGGUUUUAGAAGAUUGCUCCAUCUGCAACAAUGGAACGAAAGGAUGCUAUAAGGACGCUAGUUCAGUGGACCAGCAGAGAGGCCUGGCAUGAGAUCACAGAGACUACUGGUGUCUUCGGUGUUGCCCAGAGAACGUUUUGCAUUCAGCCACCUGCAGAGGCUCUGCUGCUAACAGCAGCAAAUGGAAAGCUAACAGAUAAAUGGGAAAAUCAGCCGUGGGCUCCUCUCGUCAGCUAAGUGCUUGUUGCAGCUGAAAGGUGCACUCUUCUUGGUGUUGGCUCACCUGGGGUUAUGACAUCUCAAUCCACAUCCAUCCUUUUGGGCCUUUGCUGAGCCGUAUCUGAGCAGGUGCAGGGCCUCUGCAUUUCCAGCUCCCUACCACAGUAAAGAAAAUGAAACGCAGAACCAUUCUUGGUGUGGCGUGAUGUGAACAGCCGAUGUUCUCACCGGUGACCCUGCUUCACCCAACAAGGAUUCCGUUACACUCACUGUCCUCUGCUCAAAGGGCAAGGGAUUUUUAUCAUCCACUUUUGAAUGCUUGCCAUCAAAAAAUAACUGAAAAACUAAGCUGGGUUUUUUUGUGGUUGGUUGGUUGGUAGUUUUUUGUUUUGUUUUGUUUUGUUUUGUUUUGCGGGAGGGGGGCAACUGAAGGUUUGGUUUCAGUUUUCUGAAAAAACUGACGUCCACGGUACACUUCCUUCUUCAUCUGUGCCAGGAACCAAGGAACCACUGUAUUUUUUAUGAUUCCCAAAGGCACAGGUGACCCCUCAUCGGUUUGCAUUUGAGCUGGAGCGCUCUUGAUGGCAUACAGUCCUUUUUAAAUAAAUAAAUAAAUAAAUAAAUAAAUAAAUAAAUAAAUAAAUAAAUAAACUUUUCUGAUGGAAUAGUCAGUGGUACAGCAACGUUUCACGAACAGGACAGAGAGUUUUCACAUGUCCCCAUCGCCCACUUCCCCGUAUUGUUAACAUCUUACGUAACUACCAAGCUACUGAGAAACUAAGGUUCGUACAUUGCUAUUAACUAAACUCCAGACUAAAUUUGGAUUUCACCACCUUUUGUGUUGAUGUCCUUUCUCUGUUCCAGAUUCCAUUCCACAUAGCCACAUUGCAUUUAGUGGUCUUUUCUCCCUUGUGUCCUCUGAUCUCUGACUGUUUCUCACUCUUUCCUUCUUCUUAAUGAUUGACAGUCUUAAGGGGUAUUGGCUGGGUGUGCUGUAGAAUGGGUUUGUCUGGUUGUUUUCACAUGAUUGAUUUGGCUUAUGGGUUUUGGGGAAGGGUACCACGGAAGUGAAGUGUCCUUGUUGCAUCAUGUCAGGAGUGUGUGACACCUCAUGACAUUUCUGGUGAUGUUAACUUUUGUCACCUGCUGAAGGAGGUAUCUGCUGGAUGUUUCCACUGGACAGUUACUGCUUAUUUCUUUCCCUCCUCUGUCAAGUCUUUGGAAGUGGUCUCUAAGCCUAGCCCACCUUGGGAAGGAUGGGGUUUAGCGCCACCUCCUGGAGCAGUGGGGAGUAUCUAUUUACUUGGAAUUCUGCAGGAUAUCCCUUAGAGCCAUUGUAAUGAAAAUUUUUAAUAAAUAUGUUUGCCAAGCUCCCAGAUUUAAUAAAUGUUACCAUUUUGCCAAAUAUGCAUCAGCUUACUUGCUUGCUUACUUGCUUGCUUGCUUGAUUUAUUUAUUUAUUUAUUUAUUUAUUUAUUUAUUUAUUUAUU
rnacentral:lncRNA from 1 species